rnacentral:RNase_P_RNA from 1 species
GAGUUGGCUGGACGGUCGCUGUUAUUUAUUUAGCAGAGGAAAGUCCGGGCUCCAUGGGCAGGAUGCCAGGUAACUCCUGGGAGACGUGAGUCUACGGAAAGUGCAACAGAAAAUAGACUACCAUUUUUUUGGAAAAGGUGAAAAGGUGUGGUAAGAGCACACCGCAUGAGUGGUAACAUUUAUGGCAAGGCAAACCCCAUCCGGAGCAAGACCAAAUAGGGGAACAUUUAAGUGAAGCCCACAUAUAGUUCCCGGGUAGGUUGCUAGAGAGAGAUGGCGACAUUUUUCCCAGAUGAAUGACCGUGCUUGACAGAACCCGGCUUAUAGGCCAACUCCU